UAUUCCAAGACUCCAGUGGCCAUCGCGACCCGCCCAGCUUGGUCCAAGAGGCCCUUCUGGGCCUCGAGGUCAGCAAGAGCGAGGAUGGCCUCCCAGGGCUCCCUUAGCAAGAUGUCCAAGCGCCCAUUCAAGCAUCUCGGGAAACGCAGUCUGCCGUUCUUUCGGUGGGCUGUACACGUUGCCAAUAAACGUUUUGGUUUUA
rnacentral:lncRNA from 1 species